UUCACAGUCGGACGCCACCGUACGUCCAGGACUGUAGUAGCCUUCUCUUCAUAUAAAUAUGGCAUGCUUGACAAAGCACUCAGUAUAAAAGUAGCCUAUAUUUUCUGCAUUUCUUGAAAGCUGUUGGUAAACCCGUGAGGCAGCUGCGUUAAUCUGUUGGUUUUUAUUUUUAUUUUGUUUUGUUUUGUUGUUUCGGUCGUAGUCAGGUAAGCUUAAUUUACCUUGAGGUCUGACGCGAUGGUGUUCUGCACGUGAAUAUAACACUUUAGUUCUCGACGAUGGGGUAUUUUGCGGUCAACAGAGGGACAAAAUAUGAACGAAAAAAUUAAGAUUUCAAGGUAAGUUUAUUGCUUCGGAUUAAACACGUUUCCCCCGUUCACAAAAUGCAUUUUUAUUUCCCCUUUAAGAGCACCAACCGUGAGGAGGGCGGUGUCAAGCCCAGCGGUUGAAUUUCAGCCAAUUAAAGCCGUCGACCUUCGCAAUACGUCCGUUUACGAAAGGGAGGGCUCUGCGCUUGAGCGAUGUGUGCGGUUUCUAAGGCAACCACUUGUCUUGACCUCCACGUCCCAAGCCUCCUCAGGCAAGACUGGUUUCCAUGGCAAUGACUGUAUCUCCGUGCACGUUUCGGUUCCCGUAAAGCGAUCUGAGUGAGCGGUCGGAAAGUAGCCUAUUUCCUACAAACUCUGUCGGAAAAUCGUAAAAGUGUUUGGCGAAAACAGCGCUCGAAAACUAGACUGUUGUACAUUAAACAUCCUAUUCUCUUACCCUCUGUGUGCAUGAAAUAAGAGCAAAAGGAGUAAUACUUAUAUGCAAGCCGUCUCUACGUAGGUUAUUUCUCCAGCUCAAAUGGGCCAAGACUACAAUUUAUUGUAAAACAUUGUUAUCCUAUAGGUCAAAUGCUAAAAUGUAAUAAUAAUGUAAAAUGUAAUGAAUAAUUUAAUUCUCUGUCUAUUCUGAGUUAAUUUGUUAUAAUAUCAAUGUGGCCGUUAUUUUAUAUCACUGACUCCGCCGGGCUAUCUACGGCUUCCUUUCUGACGUAUCCUGAUGUCAACUGAAAUUUCAACUUCCUGUGACCUGUCGAGACUCAUCUACCUACCAUGUGUGUUCAGUGGGGGUGGCGCGCCUGGCGGGAUGGUGUAGAGGGAUAACUCGGGGAGAUGCGGAGAACGGAAGAAAGAGGGAGCUGUAUCUCCCUCUCUUCCCCCUCCCACACUUAAGCACACAACGCAGGGUUCUGUUUAAGGCCUUCAUAGUCGAGUAAGUCUUCUUAGCAUUGUAUUUUAUAUUACAUAUUCUAUAGCUGUACAAUCUACUAGAUCUGUUUCGCACUCCUCAGACUCGAUUAGGUGUCUUACAACUUCGAACACACGAUUAACAUAUUUUUGUAUACGCUGUUAAAUUUAAUGAAUGUCUUAAAAUCGAUUUACUUAAUUCAAAAACACCGGAAAAGAAUUCCGUUUAAUGUUUUCCCAUUCAGAAUGUUUAUAGGUCAAGUGUUAUUUACAAAAUAUCCUAAUAGGAAUAAAUAAAUGCAACUAGUCAGAUAUGGACAGUAUGGUUUAUUGUGUUUAUAGGUUUAGAAUGAUUCUGUUCCUACUUGCUCGACUGAAAAAGUACAUGUUUAUGGAAUUAAAUACGUUAAUAUACUGUAGGCCUACCACAGUCGACGGUUUUAGUUGGCUAAAUCGAGAGCCCCUUUAACAAUAAAAAAAAAUAUGUAGGUGUAGUUUCAUGACGUCUGAGAAAAACAUUUCUUAACUAAACAAGUCGCACGUCGUGGUGUUCUGAGGACAAAGUUCUCUCUCUCUCUCUCUCUCUCUCUCUCUCUCUCUCUCUCACAAAUCAUUCCCGCUUACAUGCGACAUAGAAAAGUCUGUUCUUUACUCGCGUGCCUCUUCUCCCCCUCGCGCUCAACAGAGAGGGCGCAAGCUCGCCCACAUAACGCGCGCCGCAGAGCGACAACAGAAAGCACAGCAGCGCUUGCAGCAGCCUAUUAAACACACUAAUUUAGUGCCGACCGGAGGAGAGGAGUACAUCUCCCAAAACACACUGUGUGAGAUAAUUCAUGGCUCACUAAAAUGUUUGAUGACAGAUGUGUAGGAGAAUCCCACUCAUAUCUCAGAGUUUUCACGGAGUGGGGCCCACAGGGAGGAAGUGGACUUCUCUGGGCUAUUUCAUCCUGCCUUUCGUAAUCCAGCAGUAAUGGGAGCUUUUUACCUUGACAGUUUGGGAGCAGGAAUGUACCAUGGCUAACCCCUAAAAGCAGAUUAGCUAAGAAUGAACAUUUCUUUUGUUUGAACAUUAUGUCUUAUAAUAACUAAAAAUGGCCUUCUAUUUUUUGUGAGUAAAAUGAUCUGAAGUACCUUGUAACAGUUGUUAUAUGUAUGUUAUAAGAUUAUAUUCUUCCAAAUUAAGCAUAUGAGGAGUUAGCACAGAGGAGGCAGCAUAAGAAUGCUCGUGUGUGUGUGUGUGUGUGUGUGUAUGUGUGUAUAUU